rnacentral:tRNA from 1 species
GUGGCUUAGCAGCAGAGUACUUGCCUUGCAUGUAAGAGACUUUGGGUACAAUCCCCAAC